rnacentral:tRNA from 1 species
GGUGGUGUAGCUCAGUGGUAGAGCACUGCCCAGCAUGCUGAGGCCUUGGGUUCAAAUCCCCAGCCACCA